CCGCGAAGACCGCGCUUCUCCUCCUCCUCGCUCCUCCUCCCCGCGUCCUCGCAGGAGCUCCUCCCAGCUGCCGCCGCUCCUCCGCGUCCACACCAAAGCUGCCGCCGGGUCCUGCUUCUUCCCCACCGCCGCGGCCGUCCUCCUCGCUCGAUCCUCCUCCUCCCCGCUGCCGCCGCUCCGCCGCAUCCUCCCCGGAGCUCCGCCGGAUCCUGCUUCUCUCACUCGGAGCCGCCGCCGGAGCCGACCUCGGCCCCUUCCGCCGCCACCGAUACCGCCGUGCACUCCACUUGCCGCAUCCUCGCCGGAGCUCCGCCGGAUCCUGCUUCUCUCGGUGAAAUCAUUGCUGCUCGCCCAUCGCAUCCACCCGCUCCCAUCGGUUUCUUUCUUCCGCGGCAGAUCAAUCCCCUCCUUACUCACUGCCGCAGAUCAAUCCCCUUCGCACCCUCGCCCCUCACCAAUCGCCGCCGCAAUCUCCUCCGUCCCCAAGGCCGUCGUCUCCACCAUGCAAUCCCACUGUCUACUCUCCACCUUGCCGCCGGCGCCGCCUACCCCUUCCUCAUUCGCGCCUCAAGUCAGCCGGAAACGGAGCCAGGGUCGCCCACUCCCCCGGCUGGAGCUCCUUCCUCACAGCCCGCCGCAAUCCCCCCUGUCUCCUCUCCACCUCGCCGCCGGUGCCGCCUACCCCUGCCUCAUUUGUGCCUCAUGUCGGCCGGAAACGGAACCAGGGUGGUCCAUUCCCCAGUCCCCAGGCUGGAGUUGUCUCCUCGCAGCCCGUCGCUUCAGGUUCAUUAUUUGUUCUCCUCUACCCAUCUUUCCUUUUUGUGUACAAUUAUUUUUUGUCCAGAGCUCUUACCACUAUCUCCUAUCCUGUGGAUUAAGAUAAUUACAAUGGGUGUCGGAUUCACUUUUUUUUUUUUGCCAAGUGUCUGUAUGAUUUCUCUUAUCUUUCAGGCUUCAAGUGAAAAAUCAGAUCAACAAUCAUGCUAUUUGUCUUUAUUAUCUCCCGGCAAACGGCAUCUAAAUUCUCUAGCACAAACUGAUGUUUGUACUGGUGAUUUAUUAGUUUAAAUUUGAGGGAAUGAAUCAUUCGGAUUGUCUCUUGUACUGAAUGUGCUAUGGAUUAACUGAGGAUUCUGUCAGAUCGCAUAUUAACACUCUUCAUUGAGUAGCCAAAUAUCUCAAAUCAGUGUUCCAAUCAGUAGUUAUAUUUAAUAGACACUUCAAUCAGUCUCUACUAAAUGCAAGGAUAUCAAGCAUGUUUAUGGGAUAUGCUACAUUACUGCUCUGGGCUGAGUACAACAUUCCUAAGGAUCAUGUUACGGACUAGCUCUUUGAUUUUCUCAUGACUAUUUGGGUUCAGGGAAUCUAUUUGGGUUUGCUAAAAAAAAUGCAGUGCUCAAGCAAAUAUAUUUCUUCACAGCGCAGCUCCCGCAACAGUCCCACAAAGAUAUUCAGGUUGGACCUGGGGCCUGGGUGCAGAGAAGGAGAGGGCCGGCUCUAGGGCGUCGUUGGUUGGGAUCAAGUGCACAGGAGGAGGCUGGCAUGAAGGAGGCCUGGGUGCCUCAAACAAGGCCAUGAUAUGGUGAAUCCUAACAUUGAGGCAAACAUGCAAUGAGACACUUAGACGGUGACCAUUACAUGUAUUUGUUCCUCCGUUCCCUAGCUUGUGGCCUCGAAGCAUCAAGGGUGCUGCCUCGACAACGUCUCAACCACUGGCACAGCCGAUCUCCCAUGCCCAGAUCAUUGCAAAGAGCUUCUCCGCAUUGUGAUCACCUCCUUCCUUGAAGGCUAUAGCUCUUUUCUCUGGAAUCAACUGGAAUCAUGACCGACCACUUGAGCAGCCCAUUGUUUAUAAUAUGUUUCUUAUAAGAGAAAAUUCAUAAAAUGCCAACGACAAACGCCUCAUUCUGCUGAACACCUAUGUUCUGUUCGGCGAAAUAUAUAACCAGGCAACAUGACAUUGACUUUCUUCAUGUAUACAUCUGUUUUUUUAUUUCCAUUUCUGAUGAUUACUAUGAUGUAUUACUAUUUCUUAUGAUUAUGAAUAUAUUGAAAUGGAUUAUAACAUGGAAUAAAAUCUUUUUAGUAUUUAUGAGGCUUUUACAUUUAAAAUUCAGGCUGUAAUAUGUAAUAUAAAAGUAAUACACUAGAAGAAUUUAUAUGGAGUGUAUUGCAUAAAAACGAUUAUAUAGAUUCUUCUUCGUUUGCUAAUAUAUAUUGUCAAAACGUGCCUUGCACGUGCACGAUAACUAGUAAACUAAAAUGAACCACAUUUCAUCAAUCACUACAAUCAUCUAUCACAAAAUUCAUUAAUGCACCACAUUUCAUCGCAACAUCCGCAUGUCAUUACUCACAGUUCAUCAUUCAUCUAUUCAU